rnacentral:lncRNA from 1 species
GAGAGGUCAAGGUGCAACAGACAAAAAAGCACACAGCAAGAUGGGUAUCACGAUAGCUAGUCAAAACGAGCAGGGAAAAAGGGCUCCAUGAGCAUAUAGAGCAGAUAAGAUUGGAAAGAAAUCAAUAAACAAUUGAACGAGGCAACUCAAAACAUAAGAGCUGUUUUAAAAAGGAUACGAUCACUUCUCCACAUAUCCGAGAUACCAACACCAGCGUCAGAUAGCAACCAGUAGUCCGAAUCCGUCUGUAAUACGAUAAAAACGUCAUCCAAGAGCAAAAUGUCAAUUGGUGAGCUAAUUUAAGGUACUGAUCGAAUACAAUUUUGAAAAUUAUACCCUGCUGUAAAUUUGGUUUAUAAAGUAGCAUUCAUGAAAUGAUAGCAAGCAACUUACGUUGCCUUCAGCAGGUGCUAUUCUCAUGAUCCCGCCCACAAAGUCGGGAUGAGAACUGGUAGGUUCAGAGGUCUGGGAUGCUGCUUCAUGAUUCGCAGGAGGAACCAAAUCUGAUAAGCCAUAACCUACUUCCGGCACCAUAGCCAUAUUUCCUUGAUGAUC